CCCCAGACUCCUACGGGAGGCAGCAGUGGGGAAUAUUGCACAAUGGGGGAAACCCUGAUGCAGCGACGCCGCGUGAGUGAAGAAGUAUUUCGGUAUGUAAAGCUCUAUCAGCAGGGAAGAAAAACCGACCAUAGGGUCGCUAGACGGUACCUGAUUAAGAAGCCCCGGCUAACUACGUGCCGGCAGCCGCGGGAAUACGUAGGGGGCAAGCGGUAUCCGGAUUUACUGGGUGUAAAGGGAGCGUAGACGGCAGCGCAAGUCUGAAGUGAAAUGCCCGGGCUUAACCCCGGAACUGCUUUGGAAACUGGGCAGCUAGAGUGCAGGAGGGGCGGGCGGAAUUCCUGGUGUAGCGGUGAAAUGCGUAGAUAUCAGGAGGAACACCGGUGGCGAAGGCGGCCCCCUGGAC
rnacentral:rRNA from 1 species